GGCCCUCUGGUCAAUUGAUUUUUGAUAAACUUUCCUAUUUAUUUUUGUAAAGCAUAAACAUGAAAAAACCAUUGAAACAAAAAUGUCCGCUGAAUAAAUGUUGUAAAUCUGAAUUUGGUCAGUGAAGUCUCGUGGUUGAAAUGGGAAUUACGAACAAUUUGUGGCAGUUAGGCCCAGGCGCUAAUCAGAAUCUGAAUUUUAAACUAAUUUGGACAUUUUACAAGAAGUUUUGAACUUUAUCCGUUUGAAAAUUACUUACAAACUGUAUUUUUUUUUUUUGGAGUCGCGUUUAUAUAUUUAAAACCAAACCUGAUUUUUAUAGCGCUUUCAGGCUAUAAAAAUAUGGCAGGCCUAUGCUGGCCAUUGGCAUUCAAUUGUUUAUUGAAGAAAUUAUUAGCAGAAAGCUAUUUAGUUUCUAUUUCAGCCACGUAUGAUUUCCUCGGAGAAUGUAAAGAAAUGUUUCAUGAAUGAUUUACUUUAACGCUGUACUAGUGCUAAGUACGAGCAUACUACUCGCCGAAAAAAGUGAACUCAUUGUCAGUAGCGGCUUUUAAAAGGGGGCGCGUUUGGGUGAUCCCCCAGGGCGCCGAAGGCAACAAAAACUUUUUAUAUGUGGUGAAAUCUCGCCCAGGGCGCUGGUAGGCUUAAGCCGGCACUGAUCAUUGUACAAAACAACGCCCCUUGUAGCAAACAAACAGUAAAUAACUUAAUUUGAAGUCAUAUAAAUUGUUUACUUCUUCACGGCGAGUAGUGAAGAGACUCGUACUCGGCGCACAUUAUAAGCAAUAAUUUCGCCGCCUUCAGCCGACCUGUUGAUUAUUUCUAAAUGUUUAUUGAAAUUGUUUAAAUCGUUAAUAGCAGAAAAACCUUUGAAUUUCACUUACGUGUUAUGGUUUUUAUUUAAUUAUUGAAAGGGCAACUUUAAUUUGUGAUUAUUGUUGCCAAACGAACUUUUUCGCUGUGUAUCAUUGCAAUGUAUAAAACAUCUGAUUUAACUAACAAACAAGAUCACUAACAUGUGCUAGAAGAAACGUACAGUUAAAAAAAACUACCCAUAAAUAAAAAAGUGUACAUUUUA